rnacentral:rRNA from 1 species
AGUCGAGCGGACCGACGGGAGCUUGCUCCCUUAGGUCAGCGGCGGACGGGUGAGUAACACGUGGGUAACCUGCCUGUAAGACUGGGAUAACUCCGGGAAACCGGGGCUAAUACCGGAUGCUUGAUUGAACCGCAUGGUUCAAUCAUAAAAGGCGGCUUCGGCUGCCGUUUACAGAUGGACCCGCGGCGCAUUAGCUAGUUGGUGAGGUAACGGCUCACCAAGGCGACGAUGCGUAGCCGACCUGAGAGGGUGAUCGGCCACACUGGGACUGAGACACGGCCCAGACUCCUACGGGAGGCAGCAGUAGGGAAUCUUCCGCAAUGGACGAAAGUCUGACGGAGCAACGCCGCGUGAGUGAUGAAGGUUUUCGGAUCGUAAAGCUCUGUUGUUAGGGAAGAACAAGUACCGUUCGAAUAGGGCGGUACCUUGACGGUACCUAACCAGAAAGCCACGGCUAACUACGUGCCAGCAGCCGCGGUAAUACGUAGGUGGCAAGCGUUGUCCGGAAUUAUUGGGCGUAAAGCGCGCGCAGGCGGUUUCUUAAGUCUGAUGUGAAAGCCCCCGGCUCAACCGGGGAGGGUCAUUGGAAACUGGGGAACUUGAGUGCAGAAGAGGAGAGU